rfam:TPA: Bos taurus chromosome 27, whole genome shotgun sequence.
UCCCUUGUGACUUAGUGGGUAAAGAAUCUGCCUGCAAUGCAGGAGACCUGGGUUCGAUCCCUGGGUUGGGAA